rnacentral:rRNA from 1 species
UGCGCAGGCGGGCUUUUAAGCCAGACGUGAAAUCCCCGGGCUUAACCUGGGAAUGGCGUUUGGGACUGGAAGUCUGGAGUGCGGCAGAGGAGACUGGAAUUCCUGGUGUAGCAGUGAAAUGCGUAGAUAUCAGGAGGAACACCGAUGGCGAAGGCAGGUCUCUGGGCUGACACUGACGCUCAUGCACGAAAGCGUGGGGAGCAAACAGGAUUAGAUACCCUGGUAGUCCACGCCCUAAACGAUGUCGACUGGUUGUUGGGGGUUUGACACUCUCAGUAACGAAGCUAACGCGUGAAGUCGACCGCCUGGGGAGUACGGCCGCAAGGUUAAA